rnacentral:rRNA from 1 species
GUGGGGAAUUUUGGACAAUGGGCGCAAGCCUGAUCCAGCCAUGCCGCGUGCAGGAUGAAGGCCUUCGGGUUGUAAACUGCUUUUGUACGGAACGAAAAGACUCUGGUUAAUACCUGGGGUCCAUGACGGUACCGUAAGAAUAAGCACCGGCUAACUACGUGCCAGCAGCCGCGGUAAUACGUAGGGUGCAAGCGUUAAUCGGAAUUACUGGGCGUAAAGCGUGCGCAGGCGGUGAUGUAAGACAGAUGUGAAAUCCCCGGGCUCAACCUGGGAACUGCAUUUGUGACUGCAUCGCUGGAGUGCGGCAGAGGGGGAUGGAAUUCCGCGUGUAGCAGUGAAAUGCGUAGAUAUGCGGAGGAACACCGAUGGCGAAGGCAAUCCCCUGGGCCUGCACUGACGCUCAUGCACGAAAGCGUGGGGAGCAAACAGGAUUAGAUACCCUAGUAGUCC